GAUGAACGCUGGCGGCGUGCCUAAUACAUGCAAGUCGAGCGGACACACGGGGAGCUUGCUCCGCUGACGUUCGCGGCGCACGGGUGAGUCACACGUGGAUAACCUCCCUAUAAGACUGGUAUAACGUCGAGAAACCGGAUCUAAUCCCGGAUAAUAUAUUUAACCGCAUGGUUCAAUAGUUAAAGACUUUUUUGCUGUCACUUCUCGAUCGUUCCGUGCCGCAUUAGCUAGUUGGUAAGGUAACGGCUUACCCAGGCAACGAUGCGUCGCCGACCUGAGAGGGUGAUCGGCCACCCUGGAACUGAGACACGGUCCAGACUCCUACGGGAGGCAGCAGUAGGGAAUCUUCCGCAAUGGGCGAAAGCUUGACGGAGAAACGCCGCGUGAGGGAUGAAGGUCUUCGGAUCGUAAAACUCUGUUAUUAGGGAAGAACAAAUGUGUAAGUAACUAGGCACGUCUUGACGGUACCUAAGCAGAAAGCCACGGCUAACUACGUG
rnacentral:rRNA from 1 species